rnacentral:rRNA from 1 species
UAUAGAUUUAAAUUAAGAAUUUUAAGGAUUAAUAGUUAAGUUCUUUAAACUUAAAAAAAUUGGCGGUAUUUAAAUCUAAUUAGGGGAAUUUGUUUUUUAAUCGAUGAUCCGCGUGAUACCUUACUUUAGUUAAUUAAUUAGUUUAUUUCCGUUAUCAAAUAACUUUUAUAGAAAAUAUUAUGUUGUUGAAACAUUAAAUUAUUUAUUUAAUAGAAUAUUAUUUCAGGUCAAGAUGCUGUUUAUAUUAAAGUUAAAAUGAAUUACAAUAAUUUAUAAUUAUUAUGGAUAUUAAAUUGAAAUAUUUAAUUGAAAGUGGACUUAAUAGUAAAAUAAAAAAUUAUAUUUAUUUGAAUUUAGACUUAAAUAUGU